AACAUAUUUGAUCAUUGCUAUAUCCUGCUUGUCAAAUAUUUUCUUAAUACUCAACGGUUAGGAAUAUUCAAAAAAAUUUAAUGUUGUCCAACGAUUUUGCGCUAUUAUAUUUUUGCGAUAAAGAAACAUGUGCUACAUUGAAAUAAUUUAAGGUAAAUAUGUGAUACGUAGCAAAC